CUCACACUCCCUCCUUUCUUACUUCUUAGCUCCUUGAAAGCAAAGACCAAGCUCUAGACUUGAAGCACCAACAAAAUUCACAACCAUUUCUGCUAUCAAAUGGCCGCGCCCUUUUCUUCAACCAGUACAGUUGGGUCUAUUUUCAGGCCCAAUCCAAAUCCUCCCAAAUCCCUCCUCUCGCCUUCAGAUUCUUUCCAGAAGGGAUUCCAUUGCGUGAAGUGCCGUUCCACUAAUGUUAAUGUGUACUCAUGGAGCUCGGCUGCGAACUAUGCCAGGCUUCGUCACGGCGCCUCUAAAUUAUCCGGCAAACCCAUCGUUGUUAAACAUUUGCUACGUAAGAGAGCUGGAGUUUUGAGGUGUGCAACUAUUGAAGAAAUCGAAGCGGAGAAAUCUUCCAUUGAGAAAGAUGCUAAGGCGAGAAUGGAGAAGACAAUCGAGACAGUUCGAACGAAUUUCAAUUCCAUAAGGACAGGGAGGGCGAACCCGGCAAUACUUGACAAAGUUGAGGUGGAAUAUUAUGGAACUCCAGUCAGCUUAAAGAGUAUUGCGCAAAUAAGUACUCCUGAUUCAAGUUCUCUCUUGGUUCAGCCCUAUGACAAAUCCAGCUUAAAGGCUAUAGAGAAAGCUAUAGUCAACUCUGAUCUUGGUAUGACUCCAAACAAUGAUGGUGAAGUCAUUCGCUUGUCUCUCCCUCAACUGACAACUGAAAGAAGAAAGGAAUUGUCAAAAGUUGUGGCCAAACAAGCUGAAGAAGGGAAGGUGGCAGUGAGGAAUAUAAGAAGAGAUGCCCUUAAAGCCUAUGAAAAGCUUGAGAAGGAGAAAAAGUUGUCUGAAGACAAUGUGAAGGACUUAUCAAGUGACUUGCAGUGGUGCUUAACUUCCCAAAUGGAGAAAGUGUACCGUGGACCAAACUCCCUAUUGACAGUAACUCUGAAUCCCUAAUGACUCACUGUUUUGGAGGCACACUUAAAAUAAACUCACAGAUGAGUAUAUGAAGAAGAUUGAUAGCAUCUUCAAGCAGAAAGAGAAGGAGUUGCUGACGGUCUAGGGAUUGUUUGUAAAAAGAUGUGAAUUGUUGAGCUUCGUUGCUAUCGAGACAAGAAAAUUAGAUGUCUUUGUUCUACUCACUUUGGUUGGGGGGUGGAAACUUGUGGUGCAUAGCGUCUAUAAUUCUACCUAGAAAAGAGCAUUUUGAAAAUUCUCGUGUUGUGAAUAGGUAUCUUGGUUUGUAGUGAAAUGGAAAAAUUCAAUACCCAUGACCUUCGUUUAAAA